GGCAGACCUGGUCUCUGCCCCAAAGUUCAUUCCAGUCAUUUAAGAGGAAGGAACAGGUUUGUAAAGGAGCCUCCCCUGUGGUCCUUGAGUGACAUGAUGAGGGCUUAUCAGGCUCUGAAUCCAUAGGGCAGGGACAUCACCACAUCUGGGCACCCUCAGCAAGCUGUGACCUGCAGAGUUAACAACAGGCUCUGGAAGCUUGGCGCUCACUCAGCUCCCAGAAGUUCUCAGAGGGUGAGGGUCCCACAUCUCCUGCAGGACAGGCCCUAGCUACUGAGUCACAGAAACCCAGGGCCGAAGCAAAGUCCCAAUCCCAGAGAGGCUGGGGCACACCUACAACUGAAAGGAGGCUUAGAAAUCCUUCAGAGACCACCCUAUCGGUUCUCCUCCACCUGGACAGGAUGAGCCAGCAACACAGAAGGAAGAGGCCUUCCUCCGAAAGACAGGUUUCUAAGACAGCCACCGAUGGGUCCUACCUCCUCGUAUUCACAUCCUAUGUAAUCUCCUCCCCAGUGUGGGCUGGACCUGGUGACUUGCUUCCAGUGAAUAGAAUAUAGCAAAAGUGAUUGAUGUCACCUCCAAGAUUCAGCUAUAGAAGACUAUGACUAUGACUUUCCUCUUGGCUAGCAUUCUCGCUAACCCUUCCUGCUUGCUUGUACUGAGCUGCCCUAUGAAGAGGCCCAUGUAGGGUGGCCUGGGUGGGGGUGAUCUGUGGCCAACAGCCAGCAAGGAACUAAAUCCUGUUUACAACCACAUGAGCUUGGAAGGAGAUCCUUCCCCAGUAAAGCCAGGAGAUGAAUACAGCCCCAGCCUCCAGCUUCAUUGCAGCAUCGUGAGACACCCACAAGCAGGACUCAGCUAAGCCACAGCCAGAAUUCUGUCCCACAGAACUUCAAGACAACUAGUGCUGUUGCUUUUCAGCUGCAGAGUUUUGACAUAAUUUGUUGUAUAGCAAUAGCCAGCUAGUUAUCAAUAACCACUAUUGCUCCUAUUGUUUCUCACCACAUAUCCAUAUAGUCAUGAGGAAACCUCUUUAAAUGAGACAAAGAAUCAGAACUAAUAAAAGAUAAGCAAAUUCCUUUAAAUAUACAUUUUAAUUUUACAUGGUAAAAUAUUUCAAACUGAAAGCAACUGAUUUCUAUUUGCAAUUUCACAGAGAAGCUGGAUAUCAUAAAUUCAGCAGAUGAAUGGUAGACUAGAGAAAAUUCAAUGCAUAUGGUAGAUAGUAAAUUAAUAUCUAUAAUGUACAAAUUAAUUUUUAAAAGGCUAAGAAUACCCAUUACAGAAAAGCAUAGCCAAAUGGCUAAUCAGCCUACGAAGAGAUAUUCAAAACCCUUUGAAGUCAGAGAAUUGCAAGACAAAUAGUGUAUUAUCAUUUUCAGCCCACCAGACUGAGAAAAUUAAAAUGAAUUGUAAACCAUCUUUCUGGUAAGCAUUCAGGGAAGCCAGGGAAUUGUUUUAAAUCAUUAGAAAACAAUCUGACUAUAUGUUUUAAAACUAAAAACAUACUCUUUGAUCCUAUAAUCUCACUUCUCGGAUUCUAACCUUAGAAAAAAAUGCACCAAAACAUAAAAUUUUAUGGACAAGAAUGUUUAUUACAGUGUAUUUGUAGUGGCUCCAAACCAGAAACAACUUGCAUGUGUGUCAGUAAAGGGGAUGUUGAAUAAGGUGCAUCAAUAUACUAUGCAGGAUACAAUACCUGUGUAGCAGCAAAUGAGUUUGUGCAUCAGUUUCCAUGUUGACUGAGGACAGCAAUGUUCAGGGUAGUAUGCAUGAGGCUAUCUCAUUUGUUUUUCAAAAGCAAUGAUCCCUCAAAUCUGAUUUUACUCACACACGUGGUAUACGUAAAUAGAUCAGAUAGAUGCAUAGAUACAUAGACAUAGGGACAUAGACACAGACACAGACACAGACAUAGACAUAGACACCAUAGACAUAGAGAGCAGAAUGGAAAAAUACCCAUUAGGUUCUUAACAUAUAUUGGGCAUGGGGUGUAAAGAGAGAAGUGGGGAGAGUGAGUGAAGAGAUAGAAGAGAGGAGGGGGAGAAACAAGCAAAAAAAAAAUGAGAACCUAAAUGAGCAUUUAAAAUGAAGUCUACAGUAAAUGCAGCACAAUCCCACUUGUGUAAAUGUUAUGUGUGUGUGUACACAGAUAUGUGUGUGCAUGAGGACAUACACAAAAUCAUGAUGGUUGGAAGGGUUAAUGGUGACCCUGCCAGGAGGUCUGAUUUCACGGGCUUGCCCCAUCCCCCUUUUUUCUUUAUACUGUUAUGUAUU
rnacentral:lncRNA from 1 species